CCUACGGGAGGCAGCAGUAGGGAAUAUUGCUCAAUGGGGGAAACCCUGAAGCAGCAACGCCGCGUGGAGGAUGAAGGUUUUCGGAUUGUAAACUCCUUUUGGUAGAGAAGAUAAUGACGGUAUCUAACGAAUAAGCACCGGCUAACUCCGUUCCAGCAGCCGCGGUAAUACGGAGGGUGCAAGCGUUACUCGGAAUCACUGGGCGUAAAGAGCGCGUAGGCGGGAUAGCAAGUCAGAUGUGAAAUCCUAUGGCUUAACCAUAGAACUGCAUUUGAAACUGUUAUUCUAGAGUACAGGAGAGGUAGGUGGAAUUCUUGGUGUAGGGGUGAAAUCCGUAGAGAUCAAGAGGAAUACUGAUUGCGAAGGCGACCUGCUAGA
rnacentral:rRNA from 1 species